GUGGGGAAUAUUGGGCAAUGGGCGCAAGCCUGACCCAGCAACGCCGCGUGAAGGAAGAAGGCUUUCGGGUUGUAAACUUCUUUUACCAGGGACGAAACAAAUGACGGUACCUGGUGAAUAAGCCACGGCUAACUACGUGCCAGCAGCCGCGGUAAUACGUAGGUGGCGAGCGUUAUCCGGAUUUAUUGGGUGUAAAGGGCGUGUAGGCGGGACAGCAAGUCAGAUGUGAAAACCAGAGGCUCAACCUCUGGCCUGCAUUUGAAACUGUUGUUCUUGAGUGUCGGAGAGGUAAUCGGAAUUCCGCGUGUAGCGGUGAAAUGCGUAGAUAUACGGAGGAACACCAGUGGCGAAGGCGGAUUACUGGACGAUAACUGACGCUGAGGCGCGAAAGCGUGGGGAGCAAACAGGAUUAGAUACCCUAGUAGUCC
rnacentral:rRNA from 1 species